UAUUGUGCUUAGUUAGGAGGCAGACAGCAAAGUGUUUUUAUACUUCGAGGCCUAUUUGAGAGGAUUUUUCAAACAUUUUCGUGAAUCUUCCUCCAAGCAGCCUUGAACAUUC
rfam:Cucumis melo, WGS project CAJI01000000 data, contig: 18706